rnacentral:hammerhead_ribozyme from 1 species
GUACUAAUGAAGAGUCUCAAACUAGGACGAAACAACCGUCCAGUAC